rnacentral:lncRNA from 1 species
AGACACCUCUGAUGAUUGCUGCAUGUAUUCUGCCCAGGGUUUUUGGCUGUGAUCACUGGGAGAGAUAGAAGGGACUGUAUUUGCUCCAUCUUACCCAGCUCUGCAAACCUGCUGGAGAGUUUAAUUGAGAUAACCGCUGGUAAGAGUUUGGCUUAUAUUCUUCUACAUUUUUUUCCCCACAAGAAACUGAAAUUUGAAUUUUCUUCUACAAGUGAGAAAAAAAAAAAGUAAAAUCUCUAACUGUCUUAGUGAUGAUAAUUCUGAGAAGACAGGCCCAUUGAGCCAAGUAGGAGGAUAGGUUUCCUGAGGAUGGAGAUGCAGAAAUAGUUGACUUUGCCUUCACGAAGCAUCCUGACAUUUUUAGAUGUGGCUACACUCUGUGGGCCGGAAGUCGAAUUCCCUGGAGGGCUAGAGCUCUCAGUAUUUUGGACAUAUGUGAAGUCAGCACAGGGGGCAGGCGGUAAGUUAACUUGAAGAGAAUUCCAGUUACAAAUUUAGCUCAGCUUCUAAAAAACACUCCCAUCGAAGAGAGAUUCCUGGUUGCUGUGGAACUGCGUCCCCUGUGGGAUUUUCCUUGUGGAGUUAACUAGACACAGUUGUUACUAGGUAGCGGGACAACAGAUUUGCUUAAGAUCUCUUCGAUUUUGACAGUUUGAUGAUGGGUGACUUAUGUGGUAUUGUGGACAUCUGUUGGCUUUAUAUUUUGCCUGCCAAGCAUCCAUACUUUCUUUUUUCUGGUAUCCAUACUCAAUUUUUCUUCUGGUUCACCACCUAUACCGGGUUGAAUAAUGCCUCCCUCCCCACCCCAAUUCAUGUCUACUCGGAAGCUCAGCAUGUGACUUUAUUUGGAAAUAAGAGUCUUUGUGGAUAUAGCUAGGAUGAGGUCAUCCUGGAUUAGGGGGGGUCCUAAGUUCAAGGACUGGUGUUACCAUGAGAAGACACAGAGAAGGAAGGAGAGGCAGAGACUGGAAUGAAAUAACUGGAAGGGAAAGAACACGGAGGAUCGGGAUUGUCAGCGCCUCCAGGAGCUAGGAGAGAGGCCUGGAACGGGCUCUGCCUCAGAACCUCCAGCAGGAACCAACUCUUUGGACACCUUGAUGUUGGGCUUCUGGCCUCCAGGACUGGGAGAAGAUGCAUUUCUGUUGUUUAAGUCCUCCAGUUUGUGGUAUUUGUUAUGGCAGCCCUAGCAAAUUAAUAUACCUCCCAUUUACCCUGUCAAAAUGAUCCGGGGGCUAGUCUCUGUUGUGCUGGGCUCCUAUUAACUUCGGUAGGGAAGGCAUUAGGUUCAGGAGGAUGAGGAAGAGACCCAGAGUCCUCAAAUGAGACAUGGGGUUUUAUUAGCAGGAAGCUUACAUACACAGUGGUCCAGUGGUGGUGGGCUGGGCAGGAGAACCACAACUGCUUCCAAAAGCAUGUGGUUUGUACAGCAUUUUCACCUAGCACCCUCCCUGUAACAAUCUCCACCUGGCAACCCUCGUUUAACUCAAAACAAAGGGCCUCAAUGUCCUGCACGGGCCCUUUACGUUCCAUGCGUCAGGCUGGGG